GGCAGUUCCUGGGGGAGCCCUGUAUGGGCUGAGAUUCCGCAAUUUUUCUUGCGGUAACCCUUUGAACCUGAUCCGGGUAAUGCCGGCGAAGGGAAGGAAGCUCAAUACAUC
rnacentral:ncRNA from 2 species